rnacentral:rRNA from 1 species
AUUGAACGCUGGCGGCGUGCCUAACACAUGCAAGUCGAGCGGCAGCGCGGGGGCAACCCUGGCGGCGAGCGGCGGACGGGUGAGCAAUAUUUGGGAAUCUGCCUAUUAGUGGGGGACAACCCGGGGAAACUCGGGCUAAUACCGCAUACGCACUAUGGUGGAAAGCCGGGGACCGCAAGGCCUGGCGCUAAUAGAUGAGCCCAAAUCGGAUUAGCUAGUUGGUGAGGUAAUGGCUCACCAAGGCGACGAUCCGUAGCUGGUCUGAGAGGACGACCAGUCACACCGGAACUGAGACACGGUCCGGACUCCUACGGGAGGCAGCAGUGGGGAAUAUUGGACAAUGGGCGAAAGCCUGAUCCAGCGACGCCGCGUGGGUGAAGAAGGCCUGCGGGUUGUAAAGCCCUUUCGGUGGGGAAGAAAAGCCUCGACCUAAUACGUCGGGGUCUUGACGUAACCCAUAGAAGAAGCACCGGCUAACUCUGUGCCAGCAGCCGCGGUAAUACAGAGGGUGCGAGCGUUAAUCGGAAUUACUGGGCGUAAAGCGCGCGUAGGCGGCUUUGCAAGUCGGGUGUGAAAUCCCCAGGCUUAACCUGGGAACUGCACUCGAGACUGCAUUGCUAGAGUAUGGGAGAGGGAAGUGGAAUUUCAGGUGUAGCGGUGAAAUGCGUAGAUAUCUGAAGGAACAUCAGUGGCGAAAGCGACUUCCUGGACCAAUACUGACGCUCAUGUGCGAAAGCGUGGGGAGCAAACAGGAUUAGAUACCCUGGUAGUCCACGCCAUAAACGAUGAGAACUGGAUGUCGGGAGGGUUUGCCUCUCGGUGUCGUAGCUAACGCGUUAAGUUCUCCGCCUGGGGAGUACGGCCGCAAGGUUG